rnacentral:sRNA from 1 species
CCUGGCGACAAAAAGAAGAGAAACUUAUAUUUUUCUCUCUGUGGAGCAGCUCAUUGUUCCUGAAUCUUUUUUGUUGUAAAGGACAGAAAUGGGUAGAGUUUUUGUGUCUUGAGCCUUCUGACUUUGAGUGUGGUGGUAACAGGUGAACAUGUGGUGCUCAAAUUUUUAAAGGCAUAUUGUCAAGAUGCAGGUGUAAUUAGUCCAGAAUAUCUCAUCUGAGAAAGAAUUCUAGAGGAGGAGGAGAGAGAAAAAGUGACUUUUUUUUUCAGCUAAACGUGUCCCAGAUCAAGAGCUGUGUCUACUCUGCUUUCUGGAAUGCCUUGCAUUUAGUACUUGCAAAUCUUCACUUCUAUACCUGUGUUUUUUCUCCCUAAUAAGUUUGUCUUAACUACUUUUAAAAAUGCUUAUGAUAGUCGAGGGUGUCUGAAAAAUUUUUCUAUAUACAAGAAUCUUCUCUACAUCAUGGCUUUUUAUAUGCUAUGUAAGAUUCUCACCAUGAAUUUGUGAUCUGCAAUAUUAAAAAUGUUCUCCUUGUGGCUGAUGAACAUGGAGAGGGGUGGAUACUCAAUAUUUCUGUGGGGAAAACCUGGGGUUCUUAGUAAAGACAUAGAACAUGUAAUGUUGAGGUUCUAUCUGUGUUCUUUAUUAUCUGUAUGCAUUACACAAUUAAGAAAAUACUCAUUUAAACAGGAUGGCAUUUAUUACCCAGAAAGCUCUGAAAAAAUUAUCAAGAGAUACCUCCUUAUUAGGGUGCUAUAGAAAGACUACUUAAAAUCACUAUUACAAAUUACAGAACAUGAAAGAUAUCUGUAUCUUGAACUUCCCAUAAAACUGAUGUUUUCUUAUGAUUAAAUUCAGACUGUAAUUUACUUUAGUGGGUACAAUAUCUCAGUAGUAAUGUCGUGUCCUUCUGGGUGCAUCAGCACACUAUAAAAACUUGUCCUAGUGCAGUUGAUGUUGAUGCUAAUAACUCAAUAAGCUCUCUUACAGAUUUUUUCACUAUAGAAUUAUUUUUCUCUUCAUCAUUAGAUAUCUUUAUGGAGCUGAUGUGCAUAAACCAUCAUGUUUAAUCUGGCUGCCUUUUGUUUUUUGUCUUUUUCUUUUUUUUUAGGUUUUCUUUACAUUUAUUUUUCUUUGGUAAAUGAAAGCUCUCAUCUUUGUUUACAGGCUAGAAAAACUAAAAAAAAAAAAAACAAAAACAACAGGCUCUUCCACUUACUGGAUGUUUGACAAAAUAGUCUUUUGGGGCCAAAACAUUGGCAUUACUGGUGAGCUUGGUAGAGAUUCAGUAACUCAGACUUUAUUUCAGAUCUCCCCAAAAAAUAAUCUGCAUUAACAAGAUGUCCAGUUUAUUGUACACAUUAAAAUUUGAGUGGUACCUUCUAACUCAAGAUGUCUAUUUUGUCUGAAAAAUAUAAACAACUAUGUCUUUUUCAUCUGAAAAAUAUACAUAACUCAUUCUGCGUUAUGUAAAUGUAGCACUCAAAAAUGUAUAUUAGUGUUUAUGCCUUCAAUUUUACAUGUUAUCAUCCAGACAAGUAUCACAUAUACACUGAUGUUGUGGAUAUUUUGCCACUCUAUUUUCUCAGAGUUAGAGAAUACAUUAGAAAAUGUUCAUGUGUUGACAAUUAUUUUAUUGGAUAAUUUCAAUCACUCUUAUAAGUCAGAACCAGUUCUAUUUACUCUAAUUUUACCUUGAGUCAAAUGAAAAAUUCUGCCGAUAGCCACUUUGUAAAUAUGUGUGUUCAUGUGUGUUUUCCAGGGACUGUUGACAUUUAGGGAUGUGGCCAUAGAAUUCUCUCUGGAGGAGUGGCAACACCUGGACAUUGCACAGCAGAAUUUAUAUAGAAAUGUGAUGUUAGAGAACUACAGAAACCUGGCCUUCCUGGGUGAGGAUAACUUUAAUACAAAAUUCCUCACAUAAACUAAAGCUUUUAUUUUUCUUUAGAAUGUUUUCUGGUAAUUUACGCAUUCAGAUUUCUGUUUUCAAGAAAAUACUGGGGAUUUGUCUGUUGAGAAAGGAAUUUCUUCAAGAUGUUUCAUCUUGACCUGAACUUUCCGCAUUCCUGAGCUAAUCUGUGUCCUGCACUUUAGAUUAAGGCUAAUUUCAGAAGUUUAGUGGCAUAAAAUAUUGUUACAUCUUAAAAUCCAUUUGGCAUCACCAAUUUUUGAUUCAGUAGUACCAGGCAGUGAAAUUAAGAACCUAAAAAAUUAAAAUAUUUCCUAAAUAUUUAAAAAUUUCUGUUAUAAAUUAGUGUAUUAGAAUAACUUUGUUAGCAUAUUCUAUUAUAUCCUCCUUACUGAGCACAUUACUAAGUUGGUAAUUGGAGAAUAUAAGCAAGAUUCAUUUAGUUAUUUUUAAUAAAACAGGUAUUGCUGUCUCUAAGCCAGACCUGAUCACCUGUCUGGAGCAAGGGAAAGAGCCCUGGAAUAUGAAGCGACAUGAGAUGGUGGAUGAACCCCCAGGUAGGUGAGAGUGAAUACAACAGAUGACAUGGAUGAGAGGUCCAAAGUCAAGAAGAAAACCACUCUUUAAAGUGAUUUAAGAAGCUGUGUUCCAAAGGAAAUAGUUUCUGGGAAGCCUAAAUUUUUUUUUUUAAUUAUACUCUCACAUAGGGGCAUCUUCUGCUUAUGCCUAUAAAAUCUAAGAAUUCUACUUUCCCUUCAAUGAUCUUCCUUCAAGUUUACAGUGACAGCCAAAGUACUGUUCAUGGCAUACAAAAGAGUGUACAAUCUGACUUCUUUUUUCUUGUUUUGUGGACAGACAGAUCUGUCUCCAUAAUUUUGAGAUACUCUAUGUUAAACUGUUUUUUAAGUUCUCUUUUUGCAUCAUGUCUGAAAUGUGUGAGAGUAGUAGUUUCUGUUAUAUUGGGCUUUUUCUUUUUGGUUUAUUUUUCUGCACAUUUCAUCCUGUUUUCAUUACUGUAGUCUUGAAAUAUAGUUUGAAAGUACAAAGUAGGAUGUCCUGCUUUGUUCUUUUUCCUCAAGAUUGCUUUGACUAUUCAAAGUUUAUUGUAGUUUCAUGUCCAUUUUAGGAUUGGAUUUUUCAUUACUGUGAAGAAAAACACUGGAAUUUUGAUAAGGAGUUUAUUAAAUCUACAGGUCACUUUGGAUAAUAUGGCAGUUUCAUAAUACUUAUUCUUUCAAUAGAAAUAAAACAUUUUAAAAUUGA